GGAUGAUGUGGCCAUCACAGAGCUGAGCUUUAGCCGAGAGUACACAGCUGCUGUAGAAGCCAAACAACCCAGAGGAGGACUGGAGCAAGGGAGUGUGGUAAGGACAGGGCCAGGGAUUGAGACCUGCCCUUGCGUGUACCUUAACCCUCCUCACCUUGGAGAAGCACUGAGCAAGAACCCUGGCUACAUCAAACUUCGCAAGAUUCGAGCAGCCCAGAAUAUCUCCAAGACGAUCGCCACAUCACAGAAUCGUAUCUAUCUCACAGCUGACAACCUUGUGCUGAACCUACAGGAUGAAAGUUUCACCAGGUGA
rnacentral:lncRNA from 1 species